AUUGAACGCUGGCGGCAGGCCUAACACAUGCAAGUCGAGCGGGGUUUUCGGACCUAGCGGCGGACGGGUGAGUAAUGCGUAGGAAGCUACCCGAUAGAGGGGGAUACCAGUUGGAAACGACUGUUAAUACCGCAUAAUGUCUACGGACCAGAGUGUGGGACCUUCGGGCCACAUGCUAUCGGAUGCGCCUACGUGGGAUUAGCUAGUUGGUGAGGUAAUGGCUCACCAAGGCGACGAUCCCUAGCUGGUUUGAGAGGAUGAUCAGCCACACUGGAACUGAGGCACGGACCAGACUCCUACGGGAGGCAACAGUGGGGAAUAUUGGACAAUGGGCGGAAGCCUGAUCCAGCCAUGCCGCGUGUGUGAAGAAGGCCUUCGGGUUGUAAAGCACUUUCAGUAGGGAGGAAGCGUUGUGUGUUAAUAGUACACAGCGUUGACGUUACCUACAGAAGAAGCACCGGCUGACUCUGUGCCAGCAGCCGCGGUAACAC
rnacentral:rRNA from 1 species